GGGAAACUGCCUGAUGGAGGGGGAUAACUACUGGAAACGGUAGCUAAUACCGCAUAAUGUCGCAAGACCAAAGAGGGGGACCUUCGGGCCUCUUGCCAUCAGAUGUGCCCAGAUGGGAUUAGCUAGUAGGUGGGGUAACGGCUCACCUAGGCGACGAUCCCUAGCUGGUCUGAGAGGAUGACCAGCCACACUGGAACUGAGACACGGUCCAGACUCCUACGGGAGGCAGCAGUGGGGAAUAUUGCACAAUGGGCGCAAGCCUGAUGCAGCCAUGCCGCGUGCAUGAAGAAGGCCUUCGGGUUGUAAAGUACUUUCAGCGGGGAGGAAGGUGUUGAGGUUAA
rnacentral:rRNA from 1 species